rnacentral:tRNA from 1 species
GGGGUUGUGGCUCAGUGGUAGAGCAUCUGCCUAGUGUGUAUGAGGCACUGGGUUCGAUCCCCAGCACCA